ACAGAACAGAAGGCCACAUUCCAUCGCCAUUUCAGCAAAAUGUCAAGACUCUGGCACGGUGAUAUUGUGCCAUUACUUAGGGAUAGCCCUGGACUAUUGAUGUUUAAAAAGGGAAAAGUACUUUUUAUCUAAAUAGUUGAUAU